rnacentral:rRNA from 1 species
ACGGAAGGCAGCAGUGGGGAAUAUUGGGCAAUGGGCGCAAGCCUGGCCCAGCAACGCCGCGUGAAGGAUGAAGGUCUUCGGAUUGUAAACUUCUUUGAUUGGGGAAGAAUAAAUGACCUACCCAAAGAACAAGCCAUGGCUAACUACGUGCCAGCAGCCGCGGUAAUACGUAGGUGGCAAGCGUUAUCCGGAUUUACUGGGUGUAAAGGGCGUGUAGGCGGCUUUGCAAGUCAGAUGUGAAAUUCCUGAGCUCAACUCGGGCGCUGCAUCUGAAACUGUAAAGCUUGAGUACUGGAGGGGAAAGCGGAAUUCCUAGUGUAGCGGUAAAAUGCAUAGAUAUUAGGAGGAACACCGGUGGCGAAGGCGGCUUUCUGGACAGUAACUGACGCUGAGGCGCGAAAGCGUGGGGAGCAAACAGGAUUAGAUACCCUGGUA